rnacentral:lncRNA from 1 species
GUUUCUCUGUUACCAAACUAGGGUCUGAGUCUAAUCUCUGAGUAAUUCUGUACUGGUGUAAAGAAUAUUGAUUUCAGUGGUUUUAGUUUCAAUUUACACCACUGAAAGAAGGAUGUGACUGUGGACAUCAUUUCUCUGUUUCUGUUAUAUUAUUAUCUUAUUCUGGAAGAGUAUUAUCUACCUUUGUAAAACCUUUGGGAUGCAAUUUGUAUGAACCACACUAUACAUAAUAAAGUUGAAUUGUUAUGUUUUGACUUGCUUUAAAGAUAAAGCAGUAGAUUUUCAUCCCAGUCUUAACUAGAUCUCUCCCUUUGUAUUGAUUUCUUUAGGCAGCCAAGUGUGAAGAAUGUGGGAGAUGUCUGUAAUAGUUUAUUAAUAUUAUGUGUUCUAUUUGUUUGCCUGAUUAUUAUAGUUGUGUUUUUUCCUGCAGAUUACAAGGUGGUUAAUUCAAGCAGAGAGUCCUUUGGGCCAUAGAAUUCAUUCCCAAACUUAGAGAGUGCGGGUACUACAAAGCAUGGAAUUUACCUGUAACUACUCACGUUUCUCAACCUGGUUUAUAAAAUGCAGACGUUCCCUAAAUUCUAGGGUCACUCAGCUACUACAGAAGGAAUUUGGUCGGGGUACUCACUGAGAGGUGUGAAGGAACAAUUUUCACUGGAGCUCAUUUCUAAACUGCUGGCUUUGUGUAUACAUUGCUUGGUAUUUGCUAUUCAUAGCAUGCAACAGAUCACCUGAGCUUAAUGGUGUUGUUUCUGCUCCCUGACUAGAUGACUAAAAAUUUAUAAGACUAACCAAUGCUGUAUAAUGAACUUUAGAUGAGAUUUUCAUACCAAGCUAAAUCAAGCCAAAUUUGAAAAAACUUUCAAUACAUUAUCCAUGAAUACAAGAUAGAUGUCCAGUUACUCAUGAAAGAAUGAAAAAGAGACUUACAUAGAUCCACAGUCAGAACUAUACAUACAACCUCCUGAAAUCAGAUUGUGCUUUAUUAUCAAAAAGGCUCUUAUGUAACUUAAAUUUUGUCAUUUAAUUUCAGUCCCAAAUUACUGAUAUUAAAAGGAACACUGUUUUAAAAUAUGGCAAAGACAUUAGGAAAUAAAUUUAUGUGCAGUAUAUGGUACCUCUACUUA